ACAUGCAAGCUCGAGCGAGAAGCUUAUGAAUGAAACUUCGGUCGAAUGAAUAAGCUGGAAAGCGGCGGACGGGUGAGCUAACGCGUAGGCAACCUGCCCUUAGCAGGGGGAUAGCCAUUGGAAACGAUGAUUAAAACCCCAUAAUGCGAGUUUAUCACAUGUUGAACUCGCCAAAGAUUUAUCGGCUAAGGAUGGGCCUGCGUCUGAUUAGGUAGUUGGUGAGGUAACGGCCCACCAAGCCUACGAUCAGUAGCCGACCUGAGAGGGUGAUCGGCCACAUUGGAACUGAGACACGGUCCAAACUCCUACGGGAGGCAGCAGUGGGGAAUAUUGCACAAUGGGCGAAAGCCUGAUGCAGCAACGCCGCGUGAAGGAUGAAGGUCUUCGGAUCGUAAACUUCCGUCCUUGGGGAAGAAAAGAUGACGGUACCCAUGGAGGAAGCCCCGGCUAACUACGUGCCAGCAGCCGCGGUAAUACGUAGGGGGCAAGCGUUAUCCGGAAUUAUUGGGCGUAAAGAGUGCGUAGGUGGCCCUUUAAGCGAGAGGUUUAAGGCUAUGGCUUAACCAUAGUUCGCCUCCCGAACUGAAGGGCUUGAGUGCAGGAGAGAAAAGCGGAAUUCCUAGUGUAGCGGUGAAAUGCGUAGAUAUUAGGAGGAACACCGUGGCGAAGCGGCUUUUUGACUGAACUGACACUGAGGCACGAAGCUGGGGGCAAAAGGAUAGAUNCCUGNUGUNCNCNCCGUAACAUGANCCUAGUNUCGGGGGAAAACUUUGGUGCCCAUUACNCAUANUGCUCCCUGGGGUUCCCCCCANUUAANUNAGGAUUNCGGGCCCCCANCCNGACUUUNUUUUUUAACCCNAAACUNCG
rnacentral:rRNA from 1 species